GGAAAAAAAAGAGGGGGUAGSAGAAAGAAAAUGAGAGAAGAGAAGGGAGGGAGAGAGAAGGAAAAAAGAGCAAGGGCAACUCCAGAAUCCUGCACUCAAACCGACCAUAAAAUUCCAACUGAGGCUACAAAACCAGGGUGCUGAAGAGAAGGUGGAGGUUUUCAAAGGGGACGGAGGAGCCAGUGGGGACACGAUUUGUCCAGGACAGUGAGGUUUCACGGCUUCAUGCAAGACCCUGGAGCGGCUCGAUGCGGUGGGGCGCCCGGCCAGUGUGAAACAACUAAAAACAGAAGGGUUCCUCUGAGUGAAGGUAGAGACACCACAGAGUGCUGAGUUGGACUGGUGUGUGGUGGUCUGGCAUCCGCUGCGUGGUGAAUUCAGGGGCUAGCCGAGAGAGAAAGAGAAAAAAAAAAGAAGAAGAAAAAUGCUGUGGUUGUUCUUGGACCCGCCGCUGUCCAAACGUUCAUGUAAUAUUCUGGUGCUUGCCAUCGCUGGUUGAGCUCAUCUGCGGCGAUUGUGAGUCAGGAGCCGUGGAGAGGUCCUGCAAGGACAACYGACUGGCUCGGCUUGACCUCCGUGCAUCCAAACGACACAAACUGAACCCAGACACAACCAUUACCGUCAAACUGUUGAGUUUUAAAUCAAAUAAUCCGUGGCCUUUAGGUUUCCUUUCUCUCUAACAGAGAGCACAUGUGCUGCUGGUUGAGUAAAAUGUGGAAUGAGGAUGUUUUCAGUUGUGUGGAGGAGAAAACACGACCCGGACUUGUUUGCUUUGCUGAUUCCUUUGCAAGGCUCUCACUCKUACCUUUGUUACUGAGAACCUGAUGAUAAAUCCGUGGGAACUGCAUUUGUUUCUGGCCCUGCAGGUGGGUUUUGCCUGACAACAAUGAAAACCUUCGUUUGUAAGCCGACAUCUGACUGACAGGAAAUGUCCUGGGGCCGUGCAAAAGUCAACUAACGUCGCGCUGAAAGUAAAUUAAAACGACAUGUUUCUGAAAUGACUGUUUGACCUUUUGUUCUUUCAGCGACGGAGCGUUGUGUUUAUCCUUUUCAUUGCACGUGUCGAGCCACGAUGAUGACAUGACCCUGCACCUCUCUCCUGUUUUCAUUCAGACAAUGCAUUCUGUGACAUCAGAAACCACAAAUCCUGAACUGAGAUAGCAGCAGUCUUCACCUCUGACAGUUUCAUUAAUGAUACCAAUACUGGAACCUUUCGAAAAAAAACACAAAAAUGGCAAUAGAACUCUGUCAGUUUUACAGAUAUUGCUUUAAAAUUGGGUGUGGUAGAAGCUGAGACUGAUCCCUGACAUUUACUGAAGCGACUGCACAAAAUCUUUGGCAACGUUCACUGUAAAACUGAUUACAUUUGGGAGCUAACACAAUUCAAGAAUGCUGCCACAAGUAACUGACUUUAGAAAACACAACAAUUGGCUACAGUUCAGUCCAUCUUACAGAUAUUUUUGCUAAAACUGGGUGUGGUAGUAGCUGAGAGUCAGUCAYAACACAUGAUGAGUGAUCUUGCACAACAAGUGCAACUCAUUGAGCAAAACUGGAUUGAUGGAAGUGUCAAACUCAUUUUCACUGAGGGCCCCAUGAGCUUUAUGGUGGCCCUCAA